GUAAAAUGUUGAAGUUUGGCGCAGGUUGCUGGAGUGUGAGAAGGGUGUUGUUGGUGCAAGGAGCCGCCGCAGCUGGACGGACGACAGAACAAGGCUUCCCGCUCUUAUAGGGAGCCUCACAGCCCCCCCUGAAACACAGAUGAACAUAAUAAUCGGGCAUUGUUAUGCUUUUGUUUUUUUUUAGUUCACGACUAAUACUUUUGGAUAAGACUGAUGUUAUUCCUAUAUUUUUGUUGUUAACACAUGACACAAAACCAAAAUGUGUUAGUCUAUCUCUAUCCCCAACCUGCCUGGCACACACAGCCCCAACCCAAAUGGUUCCUACUGAAGAUAGAAAUCUUACUUAACAUAGGGGACUAUUUUUAGUGGUGGAUUAAUCCACAUGUGUGCUCUAGUCAGUACUUGAGGGAUCAGGAUGGUGUUUGUGAGAUUGAAUCAAAAUAAACUCCAGAGUGUGUGUCCAUGGCUGCCCACAGCAACAGUUCUCAGUGGUUCAUUCAUGCAUUUUGUAUAGUUUUUGGACAAUAAAAGAUAUCCAUGGCACAGGGGAAAUAAAUAUCAAGCUUUGGACACUGAUAAUAAUUUGUUUUAUAAUUGCUAAUCAUGUUAUAUGUUUUUUCCUGAGAUUUGAUGAGAAUAAGAAAUAUAGAAUUUCACCUGACUUGUAUAUUGAAAAAAAACCUUUGACAUUUUCUGAUGAUAAUGUCUCUGUAGUGUUUGCAUGCAUGCAUAUUGUUCUGUACAAGAAAAGUGCCUCACUUUAUAGAGUAGUUGCAGAUGAGCAGUGUUGCCUCCGAUAUGUUCUUGUUUGGGAGAACAUGGAAGUAGGCAACACUACACCUGUUGUCAGCACAUCCCACUUUGUUGCUGCUCGCCUACACCAUCUGGGAGGAAACACGAAGCACAUGUUGAUGCUUUCAUCCGAGUGGUGUCGCCAUAAACCCGUAUUGACAAUAACCACAGUAUUUAAAAGUGAAUUAUGCCAUGAUAUUUGAGUGACUUAUUUGACCAAAACAUUUGAAAACCCAUAAUAAACAAAGUUAAAGAUGA